rnacentral:rRNA from 1 species
AUUGAACGCUGGCGGCAUGCUUUACACAUGCAAGUCGAACGGCAGCGCGGGCUUCGGCCUGGCGGCGAGUGGCGAACGGGUGAGUAAUACAUCGGAACGUGCCCAGUAGUGGGGGAUAGCUCGGCGAAAGCCGGAUUAAUACCGCAUACGACCUGAGGGUGAAAGCGGGGGAUCUUCGGACCUCGCGCUAUUGGAGCGGCCGAUGGCAGAUUAGCUAGUUGGUGGGGUAGAGGCCUACCAAGGCGACGAUCUGUAGCUGGUCUGAGAGGACGACCAGCCACACUGGGACUGAGACACGGCCCAGACUCCUACGGGAGGCAGCAGUGGGGAAUUUUGGACAAUGGGCGAAAGCCUGAUCCAGCAAUGCCGCGUGUGUGAUGAAGGCCUUCGGGUUGUAAAGCACUUUUGGCGGGAACGAAAAGGACUGUGCCAAUACCACGGUUCGAUGACGGUACCCGCAGAAUAAGCACCGGCUAACUACGUG